rnacentral:pre_miRNA from 1 species
AUUCUACUCCCUUCGUUGCACAAUACAUGCCUUCUAUUUGUCAAAAUAUAUAUGUAUCUAGACAUGUCUUAGUAUAUAGGUACAUCCAUUUUUGGACAAAUGGAAGUAAAGUAUUUUGGAACGGAGGGAGUACACA